rnacentral:rRNA from 1 species
UACGUAGGUGGCGAGCGUUAUCCGGAUUUAUUGGGUUUAAAGGGAGCGUAGGCGGCUGAUUAAGUCAGCGGUGAAAGGUAGCAGCUUAACUGUUUUACAUGCCGUUGAUACUGGUUAGCUUGAGUUGACAGAAGGCAGAUAGAAUUCCUGGUGUAGCGGUGAAAUGCUUAGAUACCAGGAGGAAUACCGAUUGCGAAGGCAGUCUGCUGCAGUCACACUGACGCUGAGGCUCGAAGGUGCGGGGAUCAAACAGGAUUAGAUACCCUGGUAGUCCGCACAGUAAACGAUGAUUACUAGAUGUUGGCAAUGCCAGUGUCCAAGGGAAACCGAUAAGUAAUCCACCUGGGGAGUACGCCGGCAACGGUGAA